rnacentral:rRNA from 1 species
CCUACGUGAGGCAGCCGUGGGGAAUAUUGCGCAAUGGGCGAAAGCCUGACGCAGCGACGCCGCGUGAGGGAUGAAGGUCUUCGGAUCGUAAACCUCUGUCAGCAGGGAAGAACGGUCACUGUGCUAAUCAGCAGUGAAUUGACGGUACCUGCAAAGGAAGCACCGGCUAACUCCGUGCCAGCAGCCGCGGUAAUCCGGAGGGUGCGAGCGUUAAUCGGAAUUACUGGGCGUAAAGCGCUCGUAGGCGGUAUGUCAAGUCAAGGGUGAAAUCCCCGCGCUCAACGUGGGAACUGCCUUUGAAACUGGCAAACUGGAGUGUGUGAGAGGAUAGUGGAAUUCCAGGUGUAGGAGUGAAAUCCGUAGAUAUCUGGAGGAACAUCAGUGGCGAAGGCGACUAUCUGGCACAUAACUGACGCUGAGGAGCGAAAGCGUGGGUAGCAAACAGGAUUAGGUACCCGAGUAGUC